GAUGAACGCUGGCGGCGUGCCUAACACAUGCAAGUCGAACGAACAGACCAUGUUCGUGUGUGUUUAACGUGUGGCGCGGCUGAGUAACACACGGGCAAACCGCCCCCCUCAUUGUGAUAGCCACCGGCAACCGUGGGGAACACCGAAUAUUUCGGCUCUUCCGCCUGGGAGGGCGGAGGAAAGUCCGGCGGCUUGGGAUGGGCCUGCGGGCUGUUAGCUUGUUGGUGGGGUAAUGGCAUACCAAGGCUUUGAUGGGUAGCCGGGCUGAGAGGCCGACCGGCCACAUUGGGACUGAGACACGGCCCAGACUCCUACGGGAGGCAGCAGUGGGGAAUCUUGCACAAUGGGCGAAAGCCUGAUGCAGCGACGCCGCGUGCGGGAUGACGGCCUUCGGGUUGUAAACCGCUUUCAGCAGGGACGAGGCGUAAGUGACGGUACCUGCAAAAGAAGCCCCGGCUAACUACGUG
rnacentral:rRNA from 1 species